rnacentral:rRNA from 2 species
GAGCUUGGCGGUGUUUUAGACCUCUCAGGGGAACCUGUCUCAUAAUCGACAAUCCACGUUAAACCUAACCUUUGAUAGCAACUCAGCCUGUAUACCGUUGUCGUAAGGUAACUUCUUAAAAUAUAGUAGUUAGCUUGAAAAUUUUAUUAAUUAAAACGUCAAAUCAAGGUGCAGCUAAUAAAAAGGUGAAGAUGGGUUACAAUUACAUAUUUGUAAAUACGGAUAAACAUUUGAAAGAAUGUCUUAAAGGAGGACUUGAAAGUAAUUUUAAUUAUAUAAACAAAAUGAAUGAGGCUCUGAAACGUGCACACAUCGCCCGUCGCUCUCGUUGAAAAAUGAGAUAAGUCGUAACAUAGUAGGGGUAAUGGAAAUUGUUCCUAGGC